GUCUACAGCCAUACCACCCUCAAUGUGCCCGAUCUCAUUUGGUCUCAGAAACUAAGCAGGGUCGGGCCUGAUUAGUACUCAGAUGGGAGAUCACCUGGGAAUGCCGUAUGGUGUAGGCU
rnacentral:rRNA from 1 species